CCUACGGUGUGCAGCAGUGAGGACUAUUGGUCAAUGGCCGUAAGGCUGAACCAGCCACGUCGCUUGCGUGAAUACUGCCCUAUGGGUUGUAAACCUCUUUUAUGCGGGGAUAAAGGUUUCCACUUGCUGAUGUUUGCAGGUACCGCAUGAAUACGGUCCGGCUACUUCCGUGCCAGCAGCCGCGGUAAUACGGAAGAUCCGGUCGUUAUCCGGAUUUAUUGGGUUUAAAGGGAGCGUAGGCCGGUCUUUAAGCGUGCCGUGAAAUUUUGUGGCUCAACCAUGGGAGUGCGGCGAGAACUGGCGACCUUGAGUGCGCGGAAGGCAGGCGGAAUUCGGUGUGUAGCGGUGAAAUGCGUAGAUAUCACGAAGAACCCCGAUUGCGAAGGCAGCCUGCCGCAGCGUUACUGACGCUGAAGCUCGAAAGCGCGGGUAUCGAACAGGAUUAGAUACCCGAGUAGUC
rnacentral:rRNA from 1 species